rnacentral:lncRNA from 1 species
UCUCUACAACUUGGGACAUCUUCUCCGGUUAAUUCAAAUGAAACUCUGUGAUCAAUUACACCCUCCGCGAUUUCAGAUCCAUUAUCAGAAUUGGCAAGAGAUACUACCUCGGAGAUUUGGUUCUCCAAAAGGUAACAAUCUCGGGAAGGUGGUUCCCCACCAUUUGGAGUCACAGUCCCAGAACCUAGCCUUGAUAUGCCACCAUUUGGGGUCAGAGUUCCAGAGCCCAGCCUAGAGCCCCAGCCGCUACCUCCGAGAUUUGGUUCUCCAAAAGGUAACAAUCUCGGGAAGGUGGUUCCCCACCAUUUGGAGUCACAGUCCCAGAACCUAGCCUUGAAAUCCCACCAUUUGGUGUCAGAGUUCCAGAGCCCAGCCUAGAGCCCCAGCCACUCGGUGUCAAAGAUCCUGAGCCAA